UUUUAAGCCCAUUUGUCAGAAUUUUUGGGUUUCAAGAGGGCUACUUUCUAUCUUUUAAAUUUUUAAUCGAUUUAUCUUUUUCAACCAGGUGGUUGUCCCAACCAAUUUAUUAUCAAUCAAUUUGUUUCCAACUAGAUUAUUUUGGCCAAUUCACCUGGAAUUCAGCACAUUAUGCCAAAACCUACUAUAUGAGGUUCUGAUUUAGUUCUAAACUCAGGACUGAUUUUAAUAAAAUUGCCUGUCCAUGAGGAACACACCUGCAAGCCAGAGGAUGGGGCUCUUGGAGCAGAUCAUAGAACCCAGGAGUUUACUCUCUAGUGCCUCUCGGUAUCUGGACCUGGGCAGCAGUGCUGGAGGGCGAGGUGGGGAUGGGAUCCUGACAUAGACGGCCUUGUGUUCUUGGCUGAGAAAGGUACCAGUUCCAGAGCCUGAGGCAUUGUUUGACUGGAGGAGAGGCCCUGAAUCCUGAUGUGAGGGAGAAAUGGAAGAGCCAGACGGGCCUGGAGCUGCAUGAAGGUUACGGCCAGUCUGAGACAGUUGUAAUCUGUGCCAAUCCAAAAGGCACGAAAAUCAAGUCAGGAUCUAUGGGGAAAGCAUCCCCACCUUACGACGUGCAGAUUGUGGAUGAUGAGGGCAACAUCCUGCCUCCAGGAGCAGAGGGGAAUGUUGCUGUCCGUGUCAGACCCGCCAGACCCUUCUGUUUCUUCAAUUGCUAUUUGGUAAGUGGUGUGGAAUGACCGUUUUCACAGUAAUUGUUGUGUGCCAAGCAUCGUGCUCCACACUUUAUAAACAUCUAUUUGUUGAACCCUUGUGAUAACGGUGUGAGGUAGAUUGGUACUAUUACUGAUAAGGUUCUAUUAUUGGUAAGGGUGGUAGUCUAGUGGUUAAGAUUCAGCACUCUCACCACCAUAGCCUGAGUUCAUUUCCCGGUCAGAGAACCAUACCCUGUCUGUCGGUUGUCAUCCUGUGGCAGCUGUGUGUUGCUGUGAUGCUGAAAGCUAUGCCACUGGUAUUUCAAAUACCAGCAGGGCCACCCAUGGCAAACAGAUUUCAGCGGAGCUUGCAGACUAAGACAGACUAGGAAGAGGAAGCUGGCCACCAGCUUCUGAAAAAAAUUGGCCAUGAAAACCCUAUGAACAGCAGCAGAGCAUUGCCUGAUAUAGCGCCGGAAGGUGAGAGGAUGGCACAGAAAGACCGGGCAGGGUUCCACUCUGUUGUAUACAGGGUCCUAGGAGUCAGAAUCAACUCGACUGCACUAAAAAAUUGAUAAGGAAGCUGGAAAGGUGAGAAGCUUAUCCACUGUCAAUCAACUAGUAUGUGCAGGACAUGGGAUUCACACAUGGGUGUGUCUGAGAGUGCAAACUUAUAAUAUAAAGGCAACCGCAUCAUUUUAGUGGUGAGAAAAUCAAGGUUCAAAGAAGAAAAGGGACUUAUCAAAGGUCGAACUGAAAUUUCGGGUCAGAGCCUGGUUUUCAGGAUUUUUUUUUUGUCUAGAGUCUUGUGCAAAUAGGGGUUUGCUGGCAGGGCUGUGUCCAAGGAUUCCAGCCCAAGUUUCUGCAGUAAUCCAGUGAUUACCUCUCCUUUAUAUGCACCUUGGCUGGUGUUGAUGAUGGGCUUUCUUUUCUCCAAACUCUUCUCUGUAAAUUUCUGCAGACGCAGUUCUCAACCCUGGCUGCACAUUAGAAACACCUUGGAAGCUUCAAACAUUUCUGACACUCAAGGCCCGCCUCAAUGAGGUCAACCUUUCUGAUGGGGUGGAUCAGCUCUCCCAGGGGAUUCAAAUGUGCAGCCAAGGUUGAGGACCACGGCUUUAUAGGAAUUCCAUCUGGUGUGUGUAUGAAGCCAGCAGUCAGCUACAGUAUUGGAAAGAGCCAAUAAAAGUCAGUCCAUUUGUUUUUUGGAAUGUUGUAUAUGUAUUUUAGUGGCUUCUCUGUGACCACAAGAGAAAUAGUCUUUCACAGUAUUUUAUUUAAAGUCACAGAAACUUACAAAACAACAUAGUAAUUACCCCAAGCAGAGAUACUGUUAAAAUUUGAAUGUGUUUCCUUCUAAUCAUUUUUGUAAGCAAUAGUAAGUCCUUGAAUUUCCUGAAGAAUUUAUUCAUUCAUUAUUUUUUGAGUGUCUACUUCGUCUCACUAAGUAUACGGCAGUGGACAGGAAAGACAGUACACUGGUCCUCACAGACUUACAUACACAGCCUCUCUGGGUCUGUGAUCAUCCCAUUGAGAGAGUAAAGUAAUUUGAAACUUAUUUUCUGGAUAGGAACCUUCACUUUCUUCAACUUUUUCUUUCCAUCACCAACACCAGCAGUUAGUUUUCUUUCUGGGUCAUUUUUAACUAAGAAGAAAUAUAAAUCCCUGCAUGAGAAUCAUGGAGCAUUUGACCAUUAAUAGAGAACGUCAGCCCAGAGCUCUGUGUGAGUGAUGGGUGGCCAGCAGGACUGACCGGGUAAGCUCACCCUCCCUCAUCUGCAAGCAUAUUUCAAAUUCACACUGACUGCCUCAAAGAGCUCAAAUUGCACAUGUCAAUUAAAUUAAUAUGCCCAUCUCCAUUUUAUAUCCAGUAUAAAGAAUAUACUUAUUUUCCUAGGGAAACAAACUGUCAAAUGCACAGAUGUUCGUUACAGUGUUGUUUAUAACAGACAACAAAGGUGGAGGAAAGCUCUACGUUUCUAACAGCAGGAAAUUAGUUAUGUAAAUGAUAUUACAGCAUUGUAUAUAAAAGCAAAAAAUGAAAAAGACUAGAGAAAGAAAGAAAAAAGGACUAAAAAGAAAAAGAACUCAAAUUUCUAACAACAGGAAAUUGUUUAAAUAAAUAAGAUUGAUAUCGAACCUGAAGUGAGUUCGCUCACCCACUGCGCAGCAAGCCGAUCUCUGACACUGGAUGUGGUGAAGAAAGUAGGAAUUUUAUUUUUGCACAGUGGUGAGCAAGGAGAGAGGGCAGCUAAUGCUGAAAUCCCAAACAGAAACAAUCAAGGGGAAACAGAGCUAAAAUAGUAAAAAGAAAAAAAAAGCCUUUAUAUAACCUUUUUAUCAAGAGUAGAUUAAAAAUUUAGGAAAAUUAUCCUUUUAAGAAAGAGGAAAUCAAGUUUUAAUUUUGUACCAGUUUACAUUUUACAUAUAAAUUUAUUUACU